rnacentral:rRNA from 1 species
GGGCGCAWKYYUGAUGCAGCNCMYGCCGCGUGUAUGAAGAAGGCCUUCGGGUUGUAAAGUACUUUCAGCGGGGAGGAAGGGAGUAAAGUUAAUACCUUUGCUCAUUGACGUUACCCGCAGAAGAAGCACCGGCUAACUCCGUGCCAGCAGCCGCGGUAAUACGGAGGGUGCAAGCGUUAAUCGGAAUUACUGGGCGUAAAGCGCACGCAGGCGGUUUKUUWAGUCAGAUGUGAAAUCCCCGGGCUCAACCUGGGAACUGCAUCUGAUACUGGCAAGCUUGAGUCUCGUAGAGGGGGGUAGAAUUCCAGGUGUAGCGGUGAAAUGCGUAGAGAUCUGGAGGAAUACC